UAGGCAAUGAGAGAUUACCUGGGAGACAUCACACUGAAGGACAAGGUAUUGCAAGGGAUUAGACCAACUGGAGGAUGUCACAAUAGUGCCAUUAGGGGUGAGGGAAUGUAGAUGAGUCAGAGUAAGGUUUUAUAAAGAGGGUGAUGGGGCCAGAUAGAAAGAAAUGGUUUGGGGGACAUCAUAGCAAAAAGUUUAGAGCUUUGGGGAGGUUACUUGUAAGGCAGUUGUAGAGUGUGGAAGGGCCAGAGCAGUCACAGGGUGGUAGGUGUAAAGAGGAAUGAAGGUGAUGUGGGUGACUCCCGAGACCCCACCCUACAGAUAAGAGGGUCACUCCCCACUGCCCUCAUCAUCCCUUUCACAUACACUUCACCAUAUUGUGAAAGGAAUAAGACCCUGGAGAGGAUGUUCAAGGUUGGGGAGAUCAUGAGAGCAGUGGGGGGAAUGGUGAGAGUUACAGGGGCCCUAAGGGGGGGAGAGGACGACUAUAAUUUAGUCUAAACAAUUGAGUUACAGAGAGUUAUUGUGAAAGAUGGAGGGUCCCAAGCGGGAAGGGUCAUAGAGAGCUGCAGGGGGUUUAGUCAUAAUAGCUCAGGGGUCACAGUGCUGAGUGUGUAAAGGGAUAUAAAGAGAGAAAGAGGAGGGAGAGGAGGAGGAUGGUGAGGGGGCUGCGGCGAGGAUGAGAAAGAAAUGUGGGAGGGACACAGCGUUCACAACUAAAGGUGCGAGAAGAUGAAGGGUGUGAAGAAGGGGAAUGAGGGAGCCAAGGGACAACUGCCAAGGGAGCCCGCAGACCCCGCCUCCCCGGCUCUGGGGCCUCCCCGGGUCUCCGCGCCCAUCCCAGCAGCCACACUCACCCUUCGCCUCGGCGCCUCACAUAACAUCCGCCCGGCCGCUACGGCUACGGAUCCUGGCUCAGACCAAACUGCCUCCACAAGCGAAGCAAGCGUUGAGCCGCGCGCUUCGAAGCCACGCCUUUCAUCCAUCUCCUACCUCCCGCCACGCCUUCCUCGUCCCGCCCCCUGUCUCCCCCCCGCCCUCCGCUCCAUAAAUCACGCCCCAUCCAAUCCCCACCUCCUGUCUCCGACCAGCUGAAGCCACGCCCACCCCUCCCUCCUCUCUUGAGCAGGAACCCAAGUGACUAUCCUGCCCCUUCUCCCUCCCCUGUCCUCCUCGCCCCGAAGCCACGCCCCAACCCUGCCCAUUUCCCCCACCCCCACCCCGCCGACUUAGACAGGAGCUCGCGCCUUCUUUCUUCUGUGUGCUCUCUUGAUAACUUUCAGCGGUUUCCAUGUAUUUGACUAUCAGAUGACCUUACAGACAGGCACACACAUUUGUUUAUAUAAAUAUGUUCUUAUAGUGUGCAGCACA